rnacentral:tRNA from 1 species
GGUUUGUGGCUCAUUGGUAGAGUGCUCGCCUUGCAUGUGCGAGACCCUGGGUUUGAUCCUCAGCACCA